rnacentral:rRNA from 1 species
CCUACGGGAUGCAGCAGUGAGGAAUAUUGGUCAAUGGACGAGAGUCUGAACCAGCCAAGUAGCGUGAAGGAUGACUGCCCUAUGGGUUGUAAACUUCUUUUAUAUGGGAAUAAAAUGUUCCACGUGUGGGAUUUUGUAUGUACCAUAUGAAUAAGGAUCGGCUAACUCCGUGCCAGCAGCCGCGGUAAUACGGAGGAUCCGAGCGUUAUCCGGAUUUAUUGGGUUUAAAGGGAGCGUAGGUGGAUUGUUAAGUCAGUUGUGAAAGUUUGCGGCUCAACCGUAAAAUUGCAGUUGAAACUGGCAGUCUUGAGUACAGUAGAGGUGGGCGGAAUUCGUGGUGUAGCGGUGAAAUGCUUAGAUAUCACGAAGAACUCCGAUUGCGAAGGCAGUUCACUGGACUGCAACUGACACUGAGGCUCGAGAGUGUGGGUAUCAAACAGGAUUAGAUACCCCUGUAGUC